UACGUAGGAGGCGAGCGUUGUCCGGAGUUACUGGGCGUAAAGGGCACGCAGGCGGUGCGGCGCGUUUCGCGUGACAGCGGAGGGCUUAACUCUCCGAGGAUGCGAAAGACGGCGGCACUUGAGGGCCAGAGAGGGACACGGAAUUCCGGGUGUAGUGGUGAAAUGCGUAGAGAUCCGGAGGAACACCAGUGGCGAAGGCGACACGGCUGGGCCAUACCUGACGCUAAAGCGCGACAGCAUGGGGAGCAAACAGG
rnacentral:rRNA from 1 species